GGAGGAGAAGAAAAUACCUAUGAUCCCUUAGUAACGGCGAGUGAACCGGAUCAGCUCAAAGUGGAAAUCAACUGCUCUUUCCGAGCUGUUGACUUGUAGCCUCGAGAGGCGUUACCAGUGGAAGCGCAGGGUUAAGUUUCUUGGGAAAGAACAUCAUAGAGGGUGAGAAUCCCGUCCUUCCCCUGCGUUUUUUGUUCCACGUACGGUACGCUUUUAUAGAGUCGCGUUCAUCGGGAUUUGAGCGCAAAAUGUGUGGUAGGUUUCACAUAAAGCUAAGUACUGGCGCGAGACCGAUAGCAAACAAGUACCGUGAGGGAAAGAUGAAAAGUUCUUUGGAAAGAGAGUUAAAAGUGCCUGAAAUUGCUGAAAAGGAAGCGAUUGGGACCUUUUUGAUUCCAAGAAGUGCCGCCGGUUUGCCAUCUAUCCCUUUGCCUUCUCUCUCUCACCAGGUUUAGGCUUUGGUUUCUUGAUGUAUUUCCGGUUCAUCUUUUUGGAGAGGUCAGCAUCAGCUACUCGGAAUUGAUUUCGUUCAAAGAAGGUAGGUUCCUUGUGGACCGUUAUAUCUUUGUUCUUUCCUUUUCCUUGUGGCUGAGGAGUGUUCCUGUUUCCGAGCUCCACUUUCGAGUACUCGGUUUCUGUGAUGCUGGCUUAAUCGGUUCCAACCGACCCGUCUUGAAACACGGACCAAGGAGUCUAACAUAUGUGCGAGUAUGCGGGUUUUACUCCUGUAUGCGCAAUGAAAGUGAGAGUAGGGAGAUUUUGGCUUUGCCAUUCUUCGCACCUACGACCGACCACGAUCUCUGAGAGAGGUUUGGGUUGUAGCAUAUCUGCUGUGACGACCCGACCGAUAGUAUGCUGUACUAUGCCUGAGUAAAAUGUGAAGUCGGGGAGAAACCCCUGAUGGAGGGUCCAUAGCGAUACUGACGUGCAAAUCGUUCGUCAAACUUGGGUAUAGGGGGCGAAGACUUAUCGAACCAUCUAGUAGCUGGUUUCUUUCGAAAGUUCUCUCAGGAUAGCUGGAAGUUUGUUAGUUUUAUCAGGUAAGCGAAUG